CUUCCACAAAAUCUGGGACCCUUGGAUUAUGAGGCAUAUAAUAGGGGUGUAGGACACGGGCCGGGGCGUGCGGCCACUCCAGGACUUCCCUCCACCCCUCCCUUCCCCCCCUCGCGAUACCAUACCCCCACACACAAGCUACCCAUAACAUACCCACGAUAAAACAUACCCACAGGAAACACCACAAAACCAAGAUGACAAAAGACACGCUAACCACCCCUGACCACCAAACCAAGACGCAGCUAACACCACAAACACAACACAGACGUAACCAGGACGAUGCUACUAACAGAAGCGACC